GAGAGCAUACAUGUACCUGAUUCUACAGAGUAAAACAUACCCCUCUAGUCAUAGGGUUGCAUUCCAAAUGGCAGGGCCUGGUUAAAAAGUAGUGCACUAUUCUUGGGGAGAUAGGGUGUCAUUGGGGACAUGGCUAUGGAGUGGGUUGGUGAACUGAUAGUGUGAUUAUACAGCGGUUACUCCAGUACACUGCUGUGUCCGUAGGGGAGUUGACAGGACUGUGUAAAGAGACCAAAGGGUGGACUAUUAGAGGAGGACGUUGAUGUUUACGGCUAAUCUAUCAGCACAGCGUUGAGUGAGGUUCACACAUACAAACCAGCAAGAUGAAGAUGGUGAUGUUGGCAGUGGCUCUGGCCCUGCUGUUGGCUAGUGGUGAAGCCCUGGACUGUCUACGCUGUGUGCCAACUAAGGCAGGAAGAGACUGUGAGGUGACAGUAGAAACCUGCCCCCCAGAGAAGGAUGGCUGUGCAGCCGCCAGGUUCCUCAGAUCACCAUUUGGCCAUUUCCAGAGAUGCAUGGACAUGUCGGGCUGUAAGCUGUUCCAAACCAAUGCUUACAUCAACAUGAAGUGCUGUGGCACUGACAAGUGCAACACAUUCUAGAAUCUAUAUACUGGUUAACGUUCUAGAAUCUAUUUACUGGUUCACAUUCUAGAAUCUAUAUACUGGUUAACGUUCUAGAAUCUAUAUACUGGUUAACGUUCUAGAAUCUAUAUACUGGUUCACAUUCUAGACCAGGGGUAUUCAAAUGAUUCCCUGGAGGUCUGGAGUACUGCUGGUUUCCUAUUCUACCUGAUAAUUCAUUGUUCCCACCUGGUGUCUAAAUCAGUGCCUGAUUAGAAAUGAAAUAAAAUAAUAAACAGUG